GCUCGUAGUUGGAUUUCUGUUAAUUCUUAUAUAUAAUACUACGGUAUUUAUAUAACAUUAACAUAAUUCAUAUUACUUAUUUUAAAGUAUAUGAAAUUUUACUUUGAGAAAAUUAGAGUGCUUAAAGCAGGCUAUUGCCUUGAAUACUCCAGCAUGGAAUAAUAUUAAAGAUUUUUAUCUUUCUUAUUGGUUCUAAGAUAAAAAUGAUGAUUAAUAGGGACAGUUGGGGGCAUU
rnacentral:rRNA from 14 species